rnacentral:rRNA from 1 species
AUUGAACGCUGGCGGCAUGCCUUACACAUGCAAGUCGAACGGUAACAGGUUAAGCUGUUGCGUGGCGAGCGGGUGAGUAAUGUAUCGGAACGUGCCCAGUCGUGGGCUAUAAUUUCGUGAAAGAUCAGCUAAUACCGCAUACGACCUGAGGGUGAAAGCGGGGGGUCGCAAGACCUCGGACGAUUGGAGCUGCCGAUAUCAGAUUAGCUAGUUGGUGAGGUAAAGGCUCACCAAGGCGACGAUCUGUAGCUGGUCUGAGAGGACGACCAGCCACACUGGGACUGAGACACGGCCCAGACUCCUACGGGAGGCAGCAGUGGGGAAUUUUGGACAAUGGGCGCAAGCCUGAUCCAGCCAUGCCGCGUGCGGGAAGAAGGCCUUCGGGUUGUAAAGCGCUUUUGUCGGGGAAGAAAAGGUUCUGGCUAAUACCUGGGAGUCAUGACGGUACCUGAAGAAUAAGCACCGGCUAACUACGUG